GGAGGCGCUUCCGGCCUGGUGACCGGCGCGGUCUUCAACACCGUUGAACGGCGGACACCGUCGUUGGCGGGUUCGAUUCCCGUUCGCCUCCGC
rnacentral:tRNA from 1 species